ensembl:lncRNA
CGCUGUUGCUACCGAACUUGCAACAUUGCAUCAACAAGACUAUUCCUGGCCCCCAGAGUUUCUGCGCCAGUGAGCUCGGAACAGAAAGAUGUUUUUUUUACAACGUUUUUUAUGACUGGAUAUAUGGGAUCAUCAGAUCAUGAUAUUUUGCUCUUUCACAGGGCUUAGUGAUUAUCGAGGCCGGGAGUGUUGGAAAGAUUUUUUUAAAUACAGAGGAACUAUCGUUCGCAACGGAUGUUAAAAAAGCAGACUUCAUUGACUUGUGUGAGGCGAAGAAAAAAUGAGCGGUGUACGUGGUGAGUUAAGACAAUCAGAAAUCAGACAUUGCCAAAUGGGUACUUUCCUACAUAUGCAUGCAUUCUGGAGAGAGACGCACCGUGUCUUCGCCCCCCACCCCCUUCUUCUUGAUGUAACAUUUUAAAUUUUACCCAUGAUACAUUAUCUUCACACAUAUUUUAGACGCUUUUCACUGAGAGCCGCAACUCAGUCAGCUAGACCUAUUGCCACACGCACUACUCAAAUCGCGGGAAUCCCAAACACACUGGUGACUUGAAACAAUCCCGAUCCCCACAUUUUUAUCCCCCAAAUAUAAAAUAACUAAAAAUAAAUGAUAUAGGUAUAUAUUUAUAUAUUAUAUAUAUUUUUUGGGAGGGGCUUCCGCAUGUUAUUUUGGCAUUAAUACAUAUCACAUAUCAGUUUGCAAACAAUGUACAAAAAAAUACAUAUCAUUGAGUUAAUAAAGCACGUCUCAUUUUUUGUUUUCUUGAGGAAGGCAGCUCCAAAAUGCAGGUGUUUCAGCCUAGCUCCGUGCUUUCAGUGUUGGUUUGGCAAGACAGCAGAAAAUAGGAGCAUUGCACCGUGAUUGGCUCAGUGUUCUGUCACUCAUGGGGAAACUACGUCAUCGCCAAGUCUAAGUCCUUAGUAAGUGUAGACAUCGGAUAUCCAAUUGUUAUUGGGGAGGGGAAAAAAAGGGGUAAAAUUCAAAAAGCAAAAAAAAAAGUGUAGACAUUGGAAAAGUAAGCCCUUUGGGUCCUGCCAUAGAGUUCCAUUACAAGUGCCCUUCCAAGCGGGCUCAAGGUCAUUGGCCACAGAUACAAUUAUGUUAAAUCUUUUAUAUGUAUAGUAGCUUUGAUUGGUCAACAUCUUACUUUCAAAAUUUUAGCAAGCAGUCAUCAUUAAUCAAGUCAACAAUCUUCUGGCAAAUCCUUUUUAAUCCUUGUCAUAUGAAGAGAAAUAAUGAAGAGAACUAAUAGAUUAAAUGUAUCGGUGCUCAUCGGCCAUUGGACAUAAACAUUACACAACAAGUUGGAAAUCGCAAAUUCAACAAUGAGUGGUUUGGAAGGAAUCGGUGACCGUGGCAAACUGCAAGCAAUUGCAACUGGGAAGUGGGGAAUAAACAAGCUCCGACUGGGAAAAUACGUUUUGAACGGUCAUCCAACUUGGAAUAGUAAAUCCGGCUUCUUUCUGUUUGAUGACAAAAUUUGCCGAAGACCUUCCAGUUCAAGUGGGCACAUCACAACAAGUGCUUGGGGGCUUUGACUGUCCGACACGCAUAACCGAAGGUGUGACAGGGGUUCUGCCAUGUUCCAAGACGGAGGGGAGGAGACAAGAUGACGACCAGUUUGAGCAAAAUUCAAGUCCCACUUCCGAGACUGGCUGCCUGUCGACAGGAAGAACUAGCAGCAGCACCUUCUGUCUCUUGAUUUAGCCUCUUCCCUCAUCCUUUAGUUAUUUCUCUACCCUCACUCCAGACAAAAUUCUGCAUCUAGUGGAGACCUCCUCCCAUUCCUUACCGCUCUCAUCAACCCCUCUGAUGCUAAAAAUUACAGACCGGUAUCCCUUUUUCCUCUUCUAUGUCUUCCAUUAACAUUAUUGCAUGGAUGUUCAAACAUUUAACUUAAAUCAAUCAAUAACUGUAUCUUUACAUACCUGAUCUACCUGUAACCUGUGUGCUUGCUGGUUUACGUCUCUGUCUCCUCCCCUAUUCUGUUAAACUCUGCUCCUUUUCUCUAAGACCUAUGGGUUCUGUCUAACACCCAGACGUGGAUCCACCUGAUGUCCUAACCACCCUCCAACUUUUCAUUGAAUCUACAGCUGUCAUGUUGUCAUUAUCUGCUUUGAACAUUUUGCUUGCCGUACUGAGCAUGUAUUAUGUGAGAUACACCAUAAACACUAGAACUGCAAGCACUCUGAACAAAGAGAGCAGCAGUGCCUGGACUUCGCAUUGUCCCUCUUCGAGUCUCCGUUCUCAGACUGGCUGCCUGUUGAGAACAAGUGACAGACAGUAUACAGUAUAUUCAACCACAAGGGUGUACUAAUGAGCUAUGCGAGAUAGAAAAUAAAUAAUCAUAAUAGAGGACUACUGAAAUAACAUCAUAUCAGUGUAUACAAGUCAAUGGGAGAAAAGCUAAAAGUAAAAACAUGCCAACCAGACAAGCCAGUGUAUGAAUCAAAUGGAUUUCCAUAUGAAUGAACUGGGAAUUAGCGGACUUUGUCAUCUGUAAGGUAAGGGACAUCAAUGUGUUCAUGUUUUCAUCUUAUUGGCUAAAAUAAACUAUUUUAAGCUACAAGUUUGUCGGGGAAAUCAGCUUUGUUCACA